UGUUGAUUGUGUUUGAUUUUAGUUCUUGCACAUGUUGGCUGUCAAUCUGCAGAGGAAGAUCGGGAGUUGAAGGUUUUCAAGAAGGAAGAAAGGAUAGGAGCAGGGUAUUUUGCAUGUUUUCGUUCUUCUAAAGUCUGCUAAACCCAUUGAUGGUGCUGCAAGAAAGAGGUACAAACCAAGACCCAUGAGGGCUGAAAGAGGCAAUGAGUUGCAUAAUGGGAAGUUGAUUGUGCAGAAUUGCGGAUUUCGGAGUUGGCCUGAUGGGAUUCAGUCAAUGGCUCUCUCGCUAUUUCCUUUAUCAAUAAUGUUGGGGUUGAUUGAUUUUGAUUACAGUUUGUAAUUUGAUGUUUCAACAGUCUGCUGUGGGGUUGCUUAUAAAUUUAACGCAUAGACAUCUACUUACAGUUUUAGAGAAAUUUGUUCUGCAAUUUUAAUUGGAUAGUGAGAAAUGUGAUUGGGGAAGUUCAGUUUGUUGGAUUGGGGGUGUGAGAUUAUUGUUUGAUUCGUUAAAUUAGAGGUUGUUGAAAAUUAUAUUCGGACAUCUAUUUGCCGUUAUGCAGAUUAUAUUUAUUCUCUGUUUUAUAACAA